rnacentral:rRNA from 1 species
UAAUACGGAGGAUGCAAGCGUUAUCCGGAUUUAUUGGGUUUAAAGGGUGCGCAGGCGGAACAUUAAGUCAGUGGUGAAAGCCCCUCGCUCAACGAGGGAACUGCCAUUGAUACUGUUGUUCUUGAGUUCAGUUGAAGUGGGCGGAAUGUGUCGUGUAGCGGUGAAAUGCAUAGAUAUGACACAGAACUCCGAUCGCGAAGGCAGCUCACUAAGCUGAUACUGACGCUCAUGCACGAAAGCGUGGGGAUCAAACAGGAUUAGAUACCCUGGUAGUCCACGCUGUAAACGAUGAUCACUCGCUGUUGGCGAUAUACUGUCAGUGGCUAAGCGAAAGUGAUAAGUGAUCCACCUGGGGAGUACGAUCGCAAGGUUGAAACUCAAAGGAAUUGACGG